CACUUUGAACAAAUUAGAGUGCUCAAAGCGGGCUAACACUCGCCUGAAUAUUGUACGCAUGGAAUAAUAGAAUAGGACCUCGGUUCUGUUUUGUUGGCUUUCUGAUACCAGAGGUAAUGAUUAAUAGGGACAACUGGGGGCAUUCGUAUUGCGACGUUAGAGGUGAAAUUCUUGGAUCGUCGCAAGACGGACUAAAGCGAAAGCAUUUGCCAAAGGUGUUUUCAUUAAUCAAGAACGAAAGUUAGAGGUUCGAAGGCGAUUAGAUACCGCUGUAGUUCUAACCAUAAAUGAUGCCAGCCAGCGAUCCGCCGAAGGUUCAUAAUUUUAACCCGGUGGGCAGCUCCCGGGAAACCAAAGCUUUCGGGCUCCGGRGGGAGUAUGGUUGCAAAGCUGAAACAUAAA
rnacentral:rRNA from 1 species